rnacentral:rRNA from 1 species
UACGAAGGGGGCUAGCGUUGCUCGGAAUCACUGGGCGUAAAGCGCACGUAGGCGGCUUUGUUAGUCAGGGGUGAAAUCCCGGGGCUCAACCUCGGAACUGCCUUUGAUACUGCAAGUCUCGAGUCCGAUAGAGGUGGGUGGAAUUCCUAGUGUAGAGGUGAAAUUCGUAGAUAUUAGGAAGAACACCGGUGGCGAAGGCGGCCCACUGGAUCGGUACUGACGCUGAGGUGCGAAAGCGUGGGGAGCAAACAGG